ensembl:snoRNA
GCAGUGAUGACACUCCAUACAAAGCACUCGUUAGACUGCUGAUCCGGGUGAUGCGGAAAAAAAAAAUGUCAAUGUUGUACACCUGC